GUGUUUCAUACACUUCCAUCUGUUUCUCCAUGCAUGUAAUGUCAAGAACAUUUCCCAGUAUUUGAUACAAACACCAACACGGAGCGCAUUCAAGAACUACCACAUCCAAAACAAAAAUACACCGAAUGUCUUCGUCAAUGUCUACAUUAAUCUCAUCCUCUUUCUCACAAACCCUCAAGAUAAGAACCCUAGCUAUUCCUCUCUCUCCCCAGACCCUUCUCACUUCCAAAACUCCACCAUCCUCAAUUUCCCUCACAAACAUGUUCAACCCUCAACCCAAUGAGAUACCCCAAUACCCGCAACCAGCCCCACCCGAAAUCCCUUCCCUGCCAAAAGUUCAACCUUCUCCUGUUCCAAGCGAGCAACCCCUCAUUCCUACCCGUCACCCGGAAACCGACCCGCAUGUACCACCCGAAAUAGUCACUGAUCCGGCUCCUGGCUACCCAAAUCCCAAACCAGAUGCCCCAAAACCGCCUCUGACCCCACCCGGGAUUGAGAUUCCGCUGCCAAAGCCGCCUGAGAAGAUGCCAAAGCAACCACCGGAAGUGGAUCCACCGCGGCCGCCGGAGAUUCUGCCGCCACCAAUUGCUCCGCCGGAUAUAACGCCACCCACUGGACCAAGUAUCUUUGGAUUGUAAGAACGAAACCUAAAGAAUAACUCUUCUUUCCAACGACUAAAACUUCUUCACGACUUUACCGUCAUUCGUCGUUCAACAGCCACCGAAGGUCCACUCAGAAGCGGUGUCGUCGAUCAUCUUCGCGUCUCUUUCCACCUAUUCCACCUUUGACAACGUUAUUUCACAAUGUUUUUUACAAUGCUAUUUGACAAUGUUUUUUACAACGCCACGUGGCGUUGUCUCAUUCAUUGUUUUAAAUGGUUUUUUGAACAAAUUUAAUUUUUUUUUCAAGGGUGUUUUUGAAAAAAAAAAAUGCUGAAACAUGUUCUCGCUUUCACUUUUGUGAAAUUCAUCCCUACGAAACUCUCUCACUAGUUUUUCCAUUCUUCAUUUGAAACUCUCGUUUUGCCACCAAAGUUGCUACCGUCCACCGUUGUGAAAAUUGUUCUUGGGUCCACCGUUCUCUCUGGACAAAGUGGUGUGUGUCGGUUUGCCAUUGAAGUGCUUGGAGGAAGUCUCGAUUAGGUCGACUCUUGAAAGAUAGACAUGGAGAUGGAGCCAGUCCUUGCGCUUGAUUUUGAUAUUAAAGAUAUCCUUUUAUCAAUUGUGGCGCAUGCGAGCUUGGAUGGAUAAAUCCUACAUUGCCAAUAUAAAUGCCAUACUUCGAGUCAGACAUAAGACGCGCAUUGGACAAACUCCAUUUAGGUCUUGUUUAAACAUUGUUGAUCCUUUAGAGAUCAAUUUAAAAUUGUUGAAACAGAUGGUAUGUCGGUGGGUUCCCCACCAUCAAUCUUUUGGACUUAUACAAAUGUAGGUUAAAUUAUGAAUUUGUAAAUAUUUCAUUAUCGUUGUCUUGACACUGUUUCUAAAUUCCCAUAUGUUCA